rnacentral:rRNA from 1 species
CCUACGGGUGGCUGCAGUGGGGAAUAUUGGACAAUGGGGGCAACCCUGAUCCAGCCAUGCCGCGUGUGUGAAGAAGGCCCUCGGGUUGUAAAGCACUUUCAGUGAGGAAGAACGCCUGGUGGUUAAUACCCAUCAGGAAAGACAUCACUCACAGAAGAAGCACCGGCUAACUCCGUGCCAGCAGCCGCGGUAAUACGGAGGGUGCGAGCGUUAAUCGGAAUUACUGGGCGUAAAGCGCGCGUAGGUGGCUUGAUAAGCCGGUUGUGAAAGCCCCGGGCUCAACCUGGGAACGGCAUCCGGAACUGUCAAGCUAGAGUGCAGGAGAGGAAGGUAGAAUUCCCGGUGUAGCGGUGACAUGCGUAGAGAUCGGGAGGAAUACCAGUGGCGAAGGCGGCCUUCUGGACUGACACUGACACUGAGGUGCGAAAGCGUGGGUAGCAAACAGGAUUAGAUACCCUGGUAGUC